GUAGUCUCGCACAGAUGCAUAUCAAUAAGCGGAGGAAAAGAAACUAACAAGGAUUCCCCUAGUAACGGCGAGUGAAGCGGGAAGAGCUCAAAUUUGAAAUCUUAAAGGGUUUCCCUUUACGAAUUGUAGUUUAAAGAAGUGUUUUCUGUUGAGGUUUUGGUAAAAGUUCUUUGGAAUAGGACAUCAUAGAGGGUGAGAAUCCCGUAUUUGACCUUUACUUUCAACUUUGUGAUACACUUUCAAAGAGUCGGAUUGUUUGGGAAUGCAGUCCAAAAUGGGUGGUAAAUUUCAUCUAAAGCUAAAUAUUGGCGAGAGACCGAUAGCGAACAAGUACCGUGAGGGAAAGAUGAAAAGAACUUUGAAAAGAGAGUUAAACAGUACGCUGAAAUUGUCAAAAGGGAAGCGUUUGACACCAGUGUUGUUUUUCUGAAAAUCAAUUAAGGAACUGUUUAUGCUAAGUUGUUUAGACUUUAUCAGCUAAUCUGUUUAGUUUUAGGCUUUUCUUUAAUGCACUUUUCAGUUAACAAGUCAACAUCAAUUUCUUUUGCUGUAAAAAAGCUUGAGGAAGGUGGCUUGAGAUUCGUCUUAAGUGUUUAUAGCCUCUUGCCUAUGCAGUCGGAGAGAUUGAGGUCUGCAGCGUAGAUCCUUCGGGGCUAAAUGCAUUUGUGCUAAGUUAUAGCAUUUUAUAGACAACUUGUUGACUAUGAUUUGUCUUGUAGCUUACUCGCUUAUGUUAUUUUACCUACGCUUAGGAUGUUGACAGCAGUAUAGACUGU
rnacentral:rRNA from 1 species